CGCAAAAGGAUCUCCCAAAUUCAACUUGGCGCAGGCUGCUGCGUUAUUAAGAAAGAAAGGACUUCUUGGUGUUAAAAUGGAUUCACCAAAGUUGUGAAACAAAGAGCACAAUGGAGUUUGGGACUUGAAAAAGGUCUGGUGGAGAUACUUAUGGAGCACGAUACUCCUUACCACCGAGGGCAAAAUGGAUGGAGCAAGGAAACUUGGAACUUGAUGGUGACAAAAUUCCAU